CUACGGGUCGCUGCAGUGGGGAAUAUUGGACAAUGGGCGCAAGCCUGAUCCAGCAAUGCCGCGUGAGUGAGGACGGCCUUAGGGUUGUAAAACUCUUUCGCUAGGGAAGAUAAUGACUGUACCUAGUAAAGAAGUCCCGGCUAACUCCGUGCCAGCAGCCGCGGUAAUACGGAGGGGACUAGCGUUGUUCGGAAUUACUGGGCGUAAAGAGUUCGUAGGCGGACUGACAAGUUAGCGGUGAAAUCCCAGGGCUCAACCCUGGAACUGCCUUUAAAACUGUCAGUCUAGAGACCGGAAGAGGUUAGGGGAAUACCUAGUGUGGAGGUGAAAUUCGUAGAUAUUAGGUGGAACACCAGUGGCGAAGGCGCCUAACUGGUCCGGUACUGACGCUGAGGAACGAAAGCGUGGGGAGCAAACAGGAUUAGAUACCCCCGUAGUC
rnacentral:rRNA from 1 species